rnacentral:lncRNA from 1 species
AUGCUUUGUUGAGUUUUUGCCCUCUUGUACAUAAAAAUGUAUCUUAGAUGCGGGGGACAUUGGAUCUCUGAUCUUUUAUUGAAAACAACAUUAAUAUUUGUACCUAGAUGGAAAAGGGUAUUCGUGAGUCCUGGAAUAAAAACGCUUCAUUACAAAUAGAGUCGUCGUCUUUCGUGCCAAAGAAAACGAUAUUAGGAUAUGAUGUUUCAGAUUUUUUUAUCCAUCUUGUUUACAUAAAGGAAAAACCACGCAUACGGCUUCGGAAAUGAUUGGAAACUAUUCUCAUAUUCUCAUAUACAUUCGGAUACCAUCAUGUGUAUAUGCUGUCAACUGUCAUUAUAUAAUUAUUAAAAGAAUUUUUUUUUGUCAAAUUGAUGUGGAUGCUUGAGCAU